AUCUCCUGGAGAAGGGAAAGGCUACCUAUGCCAGUAUUCUGGCUUGGACAAUUCCAUGGACUGUAUAGUCCAUGGGGUUGCAGAGAGUGGGACAAGACUAAGUGACUUUCACCUUUGUGUGCAGUGUGCUGUUACAAGCCCUGUUGAAUUCUUAAAUGUGAUUAUUUUUCAGUUCUAGAAUUUCCAUUCUAUAUUUCAUACAGUUUCCUCUACUGAAUUUGUCUGUCUUGUCAUUUAAUUUAUCAAACCUAUUCAUGGUGGUUGGCACAGUGGUAAAGAAUCUGCCUACCAAUGCAGGAGACACAAGAGAUUCAGGUUCAAUCCCUGGGUCAAGAAGAUCUCCUGGAGUAGGAAAUGGCAACCCACUCCAGUAUUCUUGCCUGGAGAAUCCCAUGGACAGAGGAGCCUGGCAGGCUACAGUCCAUGGGGUCACAAAGAGUUGAACAUAACUGACGUGACUUAGCAUUCUCACAAAGAGAUAAUUUGAGGCUGUGGAUGGUAUAGUCUUCUUGCAGGGGUUUGCUUUUGCCUCUGACUAUUUUAAUCUAAUCAGGGAUUUUGUGAUGAGAAGUUGAACUUUAGCAUUUAUAGGAGCUGGCCUCUCCUUUGGUUUAGGCCUUUGAGGGUUUCAACUAAAAGUAAGGAGUGGUUGCCUGGGUGCCUCUAUCUUAUUAGGUCCUGAACUUCCAGGUUUUUCCCUGAAAGCUCUGUAAGACUAUAGGAAGACCAGUUUAGUUUCUCAGCCACUUAGCUACUGCUUUCUGCUCACCUUCUCAACCUCUUGUUACUACUUUUGAAUCAGUAAUUCCUUAAAAGGAAAAGAAACACUGAAUGUUAGGCUUAUCUCUUCAAACUCCUUUUCUGUCUGAGAUUUUAACCCCUCAAGUCCUUGCUGCCUUGGUCCCGUUUUGAUAUCUACAAAUAGAUUGUUUCAAUUUUAAAUUUUGUUCAUGUUUUCCAGUUGUUUUUUGCUGUAGAAUUGAUAUGCAAGAAACUGCACCCUUACUGAGAGCAGAACUCCCUACAGAAUAACUUUAAAAAUAAGACAACUGAUGCAAGACAAUGAUACUCAGAGCCGAGCCUACCUUAAGUUAUUUGCCUUUAUGUAAACACUGAGUCAAAGUCAGCAAAGUUUAGGUUUUAUUUACUUUUGAGAUGCCUUGACUUUUAAGGGCAACAAGUGAAUUUUUCCUUAGGAAUUUCUUCUCUUGUUGGUCUUAUUUCUGCCAUAUUUACUGUUUUCUUUAGUCUUUCCCCCAGUACUUCCCUCAUAAUUCUCAGUCUCUAAUUUGACUCAGGCAAGAUGUGUCUAAAUUGUCCCAUUAAAUUGUAUCUGCAGGUGAUAAAAUGAUGGCUCACUGUCUCCCUUUAGCUCUAGAGAAUAAGCCAAUCAUCAAUGAGACUGAGUGAAAACAUUCCUUAGCUUGAUUUCCCAAUACUAAAUCUCAAGUAAUCUUUUUAGUUUUUAUAUAGUUGUAAUAAUAACUUGAUAGUGUAUCUUUGUAACAAGCUUUCAUUUAACUAACAAGCCUUCAACAAUUUCCUAUUCUCUAGAAAUCUCUAACAAUAAUAAAAAUUAUUACAUGAUCUUGCCCCAUCUAGCCAAGGCUAACUGACCCACAGGAGAAAUCCUAACCCAAACUGGUCCAGUCAAAUCCUCCCUAUCAGAAAUUUGACAUAUGUGACAAUUAAAUAUAGAGAUAGAGUUUUUAGAGCUGCAUAAUAUAAUACACAACUUCUACGGUGGGUUCCACAUUGUACCCCUCCUUCUAGGAGUCAUGUCCUUAUGUAAUGUUUUCCCCUUGACUAUAGGCUGGACCUAGUGAUUCACUCCUAACAGACUACGGCAAAAGUAAUAAGGUGUUGUUUCUGAGAUUAGGUUGGAAAAAGACUUUGUGUUCUACUUUGACGGCUCUUUUUUACUCUCUUUCUCUUUUUUUUUCUCUUUUGCUCUCUUGCUCACUUACUCUGAGGGAAGCCAAUUGCCAUGUUAUGCUGCCCUUUGAAGAGGUCCAUGUGUCAGGAAACUGCAUGCAGGAGGUCUCUAGCCAAGAGGCAGCAAGGAACUGAUGCCCUCAAGUGAACAGCUGUCCAGAUACUAAACUCUGCCAACAACCAUGGAGUGAGCUUGGAAAAGAAUCCUCCCUCAGUAUGUGGGAUCUUCAUUUCCCCACACCUGCCUCCUACAGUGAAGCUCAGAAUCUUAACCAUUGGCCCACGAGCAUCAGGGACUUUUCCAAUGAGUCGUCUAUUCACAUCAUAUGACCAAAAU